GUGUUUGCAGCCUCUCCUGGAGCGACGCUCCCCCUGAGCACGUUUCAGACCGUGGAUGCACGGCGGGGCUCCUUGGGAACUCCUGGAAGCAUCCGUCUUUCGCACAAGCCCCGUAUGCACCCUUCUGGGCGACUCCCUGAACAGACUGACAUCAGAAUGACCACGGAACAGCAAAUUAACGAAACACUUCGAAACUCAACUGGUGCCGUCCUAAUCUGCUUAAACGGGGCUCAAGUAAUUACAAGCAAACAAGUCCCGCAGAGGGAGAGGUCGCUGCAUUGCUCAAUGUUCACAGCUGCAGCUCGGGAGAGCAGGACGUGGCCACAACCCAGCCACGUACUUCACCCCUGGUCAACAAGAGCAGGAGAAAAACUGGGUUUCUUCACUCACUGAUAGCCGUCAGCAAAGCUGUUGGGACACAGAGCUCCUUCCUGAGGCUUCUCCUUUUCUGUUCUCCAGAAUCACUCCGCGAGCUCCUUUCGAAAGCGAGGACUGAGCCGAAUACUGGAGAGAGCAAAACAGAAUAAUAAAAGGUUUCAUUCCACGUUAGACAUUGGGCACCACUAAGUAGAAGUUCCAGAUAAUGGGUUUAUAAUUUUGCCACUUUCUGACAGCAUACAUUAUUGUUCUGUUUAGUUUUGCUUCGGGCUGACCGAGCUGCUACCAAACAGGACUCAGCUUUGGGCAGCCAGCCAGACGCUACCAGCGUCUCCCAAAAGCACGUAGGAAUGUGUAUUUCUAGUAAACAAAAGCAAAAGCAAAACCUGUUGUCUUCUGAUGUGGCCUCGGUUUGGCUCCAGGUGUUUCUGGGGCUGCUUGCUUUUAGUGCACACGAGAGCCGCCGUGCCUGGCUGCAGGGAGUGAGAGCUCCCGACCAGCUGUCAGAAAAACCUUCUGCUUGGCACUGCCUUUGCCGGUCCCCCUGAGGUAAGGCUACAGCUUUGAACAUGUAGAAGGUUGUAUCUGGCACAGCUCCCGUUUAACAGCAAAAUACGGCAUAGCCUUCCCUGCUAAACAGCUGCAAGAGCACUGACUGUCCUAUUUGUGUUCUCCCAGCUGCUGAGCCUUCCCCUUGAUUUCCACUUUGCAUUACUGUGUUCAAAAUGACCUCACAGAAUGCUGCAUCUCCUUUUCAUGUACACAAAAUUUGGAUGUCACUUACAGCACUGAUGGUACUGACUGACCUCUCUGCCAGCACAGGUCUUGGCUUAGCGAGUGUUAAGGGUGAGCUCUCUAAACCAUGUUUCCUAUGUUUGCUUUUUCUUACACAAGAAAUCAAUUGGGAUGAGGAAUAAAAAUCUGGAACUGAAGUUUUUUAUGGCUCACUGUUCUUAUGAGCUGACAUCCCUGCAGCACAGCAACCCAUCUCUCCUCUGGGAAAUGUGCCUAUAGGUAAACCGGAUCCAGCUCAGAAAAAAAAUGAUUUAGCUUGCAAGCAUUACAUGAUGAAACAUCUGUAGUUAGAACCUGAAUUUAUGUUAAUAAGGAUCUCACAGUUUGUUAGCUAACAAUGAUGUGAAAUGGGUAUCUUCAGUCAAGGGGAAUGGGCUACAGCUGCUCCAGAUGCUAUCUGUAACAUUAGGAAUAAAUUACAGAGAGAUU
rnacentral:lncRNA from 7 species